rnacentral:rRNA from 1 species
GAUGAACGCUGGCGGCGUGCCUAACACAUGCAAGUCGAGCGAGGGUUUGCUCAGUAUUGAGUAUUCUAAGACUAGAAUGUUCAAUUCUGAGCAAAACCAAGCGGCGGACGGGUGAGUAACGCGUGGGUAACCUGCCCUAUACACAUGGAUAACAUACUGAAAAGUUUACUAAUACAUGAUAAUAUAUAUUUGCGGCAUCGCAGAUAUAUCAAAGUGUUAGCGGUAUAGGAUGGACCCGCGUCUGAUUAGCUAGUUGGUGAGGUAACUGCCCACCAAGGCGACGAUCAGUAGCCGACCUGAGAGGGUGAUCGGCCACAUUGGAACUGAGACACGGCCCUUACUCCUACGGGAGGCAGCAGUGGGGAAUAUUGGACAAUGGACCAAGAGUCUGAUCCAGCAAUUCUGUGUGCACGAUGAAGUUUUUCGGAAUGUAAAGUGCUUUCAGUUGGGAAGAAAAAAAUGACGGUACCAACAGAAGAAGUGACGGCUAAAUACGUGCCAGCAGCCGCGGUAAUACGUAUGUCACAAGCGUUAUCCGGAUUUAUUGGGCGUAAAGCGCGUCUAGGUGGUUAUGUAAGUCUGAUGUGAAAAUGCGGGGCUCAACUCUGUAUUGCGUUGGAAACUGUGUAACUAGAGUACUGGAGAGGUAAGCGGAACUACAAGUGUAGAGGUGAAAUUCGUAGAUAUUUGUAGGAAUGCCGAUGGGGAAGCCAGCUUACUGGACAGAUACUGACGCUGAAGCGCGAAAGCGUGGGUAGCAAACAGG